rnacentral:snRNA from 1 species
GGGCUCACUUCUGCAGCACAUAUACCAAAAUUGGAAGAAUACAGAGAAGAUUAGUAUGGCCACUGAGCAAGAAUGACACGCAAAUUUGUGAAGCAUUCCAUAUUUUA